rnacentral:snoRNA from 1 species
AGUCCAUGGUGUGGGCAGCAUCUAAGUGGGUCCUUGUAUCUUUCCCAGGUGUCGUACAUUGACUUAUCUUCAAAUUGCACAAAAGAAGAUAUGUCAUUUCUAAGUUU